rnacentral:rRNA from 1 species
AGAGUUUGAUCCUGGCUCAGAUUGAACGCUGGUGGUAUGCUUAACACAUGCAAGUCGAACGGAAACGAUACUAGCUUGCUAGUAGGCGUCGAGUGGCGGACGGGUGAGUAACGCGUAGGAAUCUACCAGAUAGUGGGGGAUAGCCCGGAGAAAUUCGGAUUAAUACCGCAUAAUCUCUACGGAGUAAAGGAGGCCUCUAUUUAUAUGCUUUCGCUAUCUGAUGAGCCUGCGUAAGAUUAGCUAGUUGGUGAGGUAAAAGCUCACCAAGGCGACGAUCUUCAGCUGGUCUGAGAGGAUGAUCAGCCACACUGGGACUGAGACACGGCCCAGACUCCUACGGGAGGCAGCAGUGGGGAAUAUUGGACAAUGGGGGCAACCCUGAUCCAGCAAUACCGCGUGUGUGAAGAAGGCCUGAGGGUUGUAAAGCACUUUCAAUUGUGAAGAAAAGUUAAUA